rnacentral:rRNA from 1 species
UACGUAGGCAGCAAGCGUUGUUCGGAAUUACUGGGCGUAAAGAGUGUGUAGGCGGUGCUCUAAGUCUGUUGUGAAAUCUCCCGGCUUAACUGGGAGGGUGCGGCGGAGACUGGAGUGCUAGAGUGUGGGAGAGGUAAGCGGAAUUCCUGGUGUAGCGGUGAAAUGCGUAGAUAUCGGGAGGAACACCAAUGGCGAAGGCAGCUCGCUGGGACGGUACUGACGCUGAGGCGCGAAAGCGUGGGGAGCAAACAGG